ensembl:lncRNA
CAGACUGUUGUCUGUGAAGCCUAGUAACCUCACAGCACCAGACUGUUGUCUGUGAAGCCUAGUAACCUCCCAGCACCAGACUGUUGUCUGUGAAGCCUAGUAACCUCACAGCACCAGACUGUUGUCUGUGAAGCCUAGUAACCUCCCAGCACCAGACUACCCACAGACAGAACUGGGCAUCAUAGCAUCAGAAGAGGAAGACCUGACAUUUUCAGCCACUAACACAGAAGGACCAUUGUUACACUUUCCUUUUUUUAAUCCAUGUUAGUUGUUGUGGCAGAGAAUCACUCAGGACCACAAAGGUUCUGAGCUGCCCCUCCCUGUGCCUGAGUAGAAAGGGCCCCCUGUCUGUCUCGGCUGUAAUACCAGUCCAGGGGAGGGUACUAGGUAGAAAGGGCCCCCUGUCUGUCUCAGCUGUAAUACCAGUCCAGGGGAGGGUACUAGGUAGAAAGGGCCCCCUGUCUGUCUCGGCUGUAAUACCAGUCCAGGGGAGGGCACUAGGUAGAAAGGGCCCCCUGUCUGUCUCGGCUGUAAUACCAGUCCAGGGGAGGGUACUAGGUAGAAAGGGUCCCCUGUCUGUCUCAGCUGUAAUGCCAGUCCAGGGGAGGGUACUAGGUAGAAAGGGCCCCCUGUCUGUCUCAGCUGUAAUACCAGUCCAGGGGAGGGUACUAGGUAGAAAGGGCCCCCUGUCUGUCUCGGCUGUAAUACCAGUCCAGGGGAGGGCACUAGGUAGAAAGGGCCCCCUGUCUGUCUCAGCUGUAAUGCCAGUCCAGGGGAGGGUACUAGGUAGAAAGGGCCCCCUGUCUGUCUCAGCUGUAAUACCAGUCCAGGGGAGGGUACUAGGUAGAAAGGGUCCCCUGUCUGUCUCGGCUGUAAUACCAGUCCAGGGGAGGGUACUAGGUAGAAAGGGCCCCUGUCUGUCCCAGCUGUAACACCAGUCCAGGGGAGGGUACUAGGUAGAAAGGGCCCCCUGUCUGUCUCAGCUGUAAUACCAGUCCAGGGGAGGGCACUAGGUAGAAAGGGCCCCCUGUCUGUCUCAGUUAUAAUACCAGUCCAGGGGAGGGUACUAGGUAGAAAGGGCCCCCUGUCUGUCUCAGUUAUAAUACCAGUCCAGGGGAGGGUACUAGGUAGUUACAGACAGACAAGUUGUAAGUUGUGUAGUCCAGGACAGGUCAGUUACAGACAGACAGGUUGUGUAGUCUAGGACAGGUCAGUUCCACUAGGAGAUAGAUGGUUAUAGACAGACAGGUUGUGUAGUCUAGGACAGGUCAGUUCCACUAGGAGAUAGAUGGUUACAGACAGACAGACAGGUUGUGUAGUCUAGGACAGGUCAGUUACACUAGGAGAUAGAUGGUUACAGACAGACAGGCUGUGUAGUCUAGGACAGGUCAGUUCCACUAGGAGAUAGGUGGUUACAGACAGACAGGUUGUGUAGUCUAGGACAGGUCAGUUACAGACAGACAUGUUGUGUAGUCUAGGACAGGUCAGUUCCACUAGGAGAUAGAUGGUUACAGACAGACAGGUUGUGUAGUCUAGGACAGGUCAGUUACAGACAGACAGGUUGUGUAGUCUAGGACAGGUCAGUUCCACUAGGAGAUAGAUGGUUACAGACAGACAGGUCAGUUCCACUAGGAGAUAGAUGGUUACAGACAGACAGUGUAGUAGCAAUAUAAAGAUGAUUAUAAAAUGUGAGAUUAAAGACCUGACGUUCAUACUAAUAUUCAGCCAGUUAACCACAGUCCUGGAGUCAGAUGUUAACUCCUGUCUCUAAAUAGUGGAGGUUAGGGCCCCGUUAACCACAGUCCUGGAGUCAGAUGUUAACUCCUGUCUCUAAAUAGUGGAGGUUAGGGCCCCGUUAACCACAGUCCUGGAGUCAGAGGUUAAC